UCGGGUGUGGUGUACGGCGCACGCUCCUUUCUCCUGCAUCUCUAAAAAUGGGUUGAAGGGGAGACCCGGGUUCGAUUCCCGGCGCCCGAA